rnacentral:lncRNA from 1 species
CUCUCCCAGACUUACUCUUUUGCUUGUCCUCAAGCAAAACAUACUAGCAGUGUCUCUGAAAGAAGUUUGAAAAUAGCAGGGACUCCCACAAUUGUAAACUUAGAAUCAUCACCUCUACAAUAUUACAAUCCAAAUCCAAGAAGUCCUAAUCACAAAAGCACAUUAUACCAUAUCCUAACUUAGCAACCAAAUUCACCUAUCUAACAACUUAGCAAAUCUUGUCUGACAUUCCCCUCUACCAA